rnacentral:rRNA from 1 species
CCUACGGGAGGCAGCAGUGGGGAAUAUUGGACAAUGGGCGCAAGCCUGAUCCAGCCAUGCCGCGUGUGUGAAGAAGGUCUUCGGAUUGUAAAGCACUUUAAGUUGGGAGGAAGGGCAGUAAGNGAAUACCUUGCUGUUUGACGUUACCGACAGAAUAAGCACCG